rnacentral:piRNA from 1 species
UAGUACAGUUUGAUAUCAGGAAUGGUGAU